AUUGACCGCUGGCGGCAGGCCUAACACAUGCAAGUCGAACGAGUGGCGGACGGGUGAGUAAUGUCUGGGAAACUGCCUGAUGGAGGGGGAUAACUACUGGAAACGGUAGCUAAUACCGCAUACCAUCGGAUGUGCCCAGAUGGGAUUAGCUAGUAGGUGGGGUAAAGGCUCACCUAGGCGACGAUCGCUAGCUGGUCUGAGAGGAUGACCAGACAAACUGGAACAAAGACGGGGUACAGGCUCCUACGGGAGCCAGCAGAGGGGAAUAAUGCACAAUGGGCGCGAGCCUGGUGCAGCCAGGCCGCGUGUAUGAAGGAGGCCUUCGGGUUGUAGAGUAAUUUCAGCGGGGAGGCGUUACCCACAGAAGAAGCACCGGCUAAAUCCGUGCCAGCAGCCGCGGUAAUA
rnacentral:rRNA from 1 species